rnacentral:rRNA from 1 species
AUUGAACGCUGGCGGCAUGCCUUACACAUGCAAGUCGAACGGCAGCACGGGAGCUUGCUCCUGGUGGCGAGUGGCGAACGGGUGAGUAAUACAUCGGAACGUACCCUGAAGUGGGGGAUAACGUAGCGAAAGUUACGCUAAUACCGCAUAUUCUGUGAGCAGGAAAGAGGGGGAUCGCAAGACCUCUUGCUUUAGGAGCGGCCGAUGUCGGAUUAGCUAGUCGGUGAGGUAAAGGCUCACCAAGGCGACGAUCCGUAGCGGGUCUGAGAGGAUGAUCCGCCACACUGGGACUGAGACACGGCCCAGACUCCUACGGGAGGCAGCAGUGGGGAAUUUUGGACAAUGGGCGCAAGCCUGAUCCAGCCAUGCCGCGUGAGUGAAGAAGGCCUCGGUUGUAAGCGUCUUCGGUGGGGUAAGGAAAUUAGGCACAGGAUAAUAACC